rnacentral:rRNA from 1 species
AUCGNUAAGACCUCGCGUUAUUAGAGCGGCCGAUAUCUGAUUAGCUAGUUGGUGGGGUAAAAGCCUACCAAGGCGACGAUCAGUAGCUGGUCUGAGAGGACGACCAGCCACACUGGAACUGAGACACGGUCCAGACUCUACGGGAGGCAGCAGUGGGGAAUUUUGGACAAUGGGCGCAAGCCUGAUCCAGCCAUUCCGCGUGAGUGAAGAAGGCCUUCGGGUUGUAAAGCUCUUUCGCAAGGGAAGAAACGAUGCAGUCGAAUAAACUGCGUUAAUGACGGUACCUUGAUAAGAAGCACCGGCUAACUACGUGCCAGCAGCCGCGGUAAUACGUAGGGUGCGAGCGUUAAUCGGAAUUACUGGGCGUAAAGCGUGCGCAGGCGGUUUUGUAAGUCAGAUGUGAAAUCCCCGGGCUCAACCUGGGAACUGCGUUUGANAACUACAA